ensembl:snRNA U6 U6 spliceosomal RNA
GUGCCCACUUCAGCAGCACAUAUACUAAAAUUGGAGUGACACAGAGAAGAUUAGCAUGAUGCCUGUGCAAGGAUGACAUGCAAAUUCAUAAAGUGUCUGUAUUUUUC